UAGGGAAUCUUCGGCAAUGGACGAAAGUCCGACCGAGCAACGCUGCGUGAGUGAAGAAGGUUUUCGGAUCGUAAAACUCUGUUUUUAGAGAAGAACAAGGACGUCAGUAACUGAACGUCCCUUGACGGUAUCUAACCAGAAAGCCACGGCUAACUACGUGCCAGCAGCCGCGGUAAUACGUAGGUGGCAAGCGUUGUCCGGAUUUAUUGGGCGUAAAGCGAGCGCAGGCGGUUUCUUAAGUCUGAUGUGAAAGCCCCCGGCUCAACGGGAGAGGGUCAUUGGAAACUGGGGAACUUGAGUGCAGAAGAGGAGAGUGUAAUUCCAUGUGUAGCGGUGAAAUACGUAAAUAUAUAGAGGAACACCAGUGGAGAAGGCGGCUCUAUGGUCUGUAGCUGACGCUGAGGCUAGAAAGCGUGGGGAGCAAACAGG
rnacentral:rRNA from 1 species